UAGAAGGCAACCAAAAGAAGGCUUUUGCACUGGCGAUGAGAGGUUGCAGUGUUGCAGUUAAUGUUCAAAUUGGACAUAGGUGCUAAGUUCAUGGAAUUCCAGUAAGUUCUUCAUCUCUAAUCCUAUUACUCCAUUUUGUCAUGGUUCAGGUUGUUUCAGGUAUUUCG